GAUGAAGAACGCAGCGAAAUGCGAUAAGUAAUGUGAAUUGCAGAAUUCAGUGAAUCAUCGAAUCUUUGAACGCACAUUGCGCCCGCCAGUAUUCUGGCGGGCAUGCCUGUCCGAGCGUCAUUUCAACCCUCGAACCCCUCCGGGGGGUCGGCGUUGGGGAUCGGCCCUGCCUCUGGCGGUGGCCGUCUCCGAAAUACAGUGGCGGUCUCGCCGCAGCCUCUCCUGCGCAGUAGUUUGCACACUCGCAUCGGGAGCGCGGCGCGUCCACAGCCGUUAAACACCCAACUUCUGAAAUGUUGACCUCGGAUCAGGUAGGAAUACCCGCUGAACUUAAGCAUAUCAAUAAGCGGGGA
rnacentral:misc_RNA from 1 species